GAUGAACGCUGGCGGCGUGCCUAAUACAUGCCAGUCGAGCGAACGGACGAGAAGCUUGCUUCUCUGAUGUUAUCGGCGGAGGGGUGAGUAACACGUGGAUAACCUAACUAUAAGAAUGGGAUAACUUCGGGAAACCGUAGCUACUACCCGAUAAUAUUUUGAACCGCAUGGUUCAAACGUGAAAGACGGUCUUGCUGUCACUUAUAGAUUGAUCAGCGCUUCAUUAGCUAGUUGGUAAGGUAACUGCUUACCCAGGCAACGAUGCAUAGCCGACCUGAGCGGGAGAUCGGACACACGGGCUCUGAGACACGGCCCAGACUCCUGCAGGAGGAAACAGUAGGGACUCUUACGCGAUGCACGAGAGCCUGACAUAGCAACGCCGCGUGAGGGAUGAAGCUGUUCGGAUCCGAAAACUCUGUUAGUAGUGAAGAACAUAUGUUUAAGUAACUGUGAACAUCAUGACGGUACCUAGUCAGAAAGCCACGGCUAACUACGUG
rnacentral:rRNA from 1 species